AGUGGGAUAACUGGGUCAAAUGGUAGUUACAUGCCAAAUUUUCUGAGGAAUCUCCAUACUGCUUUCCAUAGUGGAUGUACCAAUUUGCAGUCCCACCAGCAAU
rnacentral:pre_miRNA from 1 species